UACGGAGGGGGUUAGCGUUGUUCGGAAUUACUGGGCGUAAAGCGCGCGUAGGCGGUUUUUCAAGUCAGAUGUGAAAUCCCCGGGCUUAACCUGGGAACUGCAUUUGAUACUGGAUGACUAGAGGCCGGGAGAGGGUAGUGGAAUUCCCAGUGUAGAGGUGAAAUUCGUAGAUAUUGGGAAGAACACCGGUGGCGAAGGCGGCUACCUGGACCGGUACUGACGCUGAGGUGCGAAAGCGUGGGGAGCAAACAGG
rnacentral:rRNA from 1 species